UACGUAGGGUGCAAGCGUUGUCCGGAAUUAUUGGGCGUAAAGAGCUCGUAGGCGGCUCGUUGCGUCGGCUGUGAAAACCCGCAGCUCAACUGUGGGCUUGCAGCUGAUACGGGCGGGCUGGAGUUCGGUAGGGGAGACUGGAAUUCCGGGUGUAGUGGUGAAAUGCGUAGAGAUCCGGAGGAACCCCAGAGGCGAAGGCGGCAUCCUGGCCCAUUACCGACACUCAGACACGACAGCAUGGGGAGCGAACGGG
rnacentral:rRNA from 1 species